rnacentral:rRNA from 1 species
UACGUAGGGGGCCAGCGUUGCUCGGAAUUAUUGGGCGUAAAGAGCUCGUAGGCGGCCUGUUGCGUCCGCUGUGAAAGCCCGGGGCUUAACCCCGGGUCGGCAGUGGAUACGGGCAGGCUAGAGGUAGGUAGGGGAGAAUGGAAUUCCCGGUGUAGCGGUGAAAUGCGCAGAUAUCGGGAGGAACACCGGUGGCGAAGGCGGUUCUCUGGGCCUUACCUGACGCUGAGGAGCGAAAGCGUGGGGGAGCAAACAGG